rnacentral:rRNA from 1 species
CUCAGGAUGAACGCUAGCGGCAGGCUUAACACAUGCAAGUCGAGGGGCAUCGGGAGUAGCAAUACUUGCCGGCGACCGGCGCAAGGGUGCGUAACGCGUGAGCAACAUGCCCGUAUCAGGGGGAUAAUCCAUGGAAACGUGGUCUAAUACCCCAUAGUAAUUAUGUAAGGCAUCUUAUAUAAUUUAAAGCUUUGGUGGAUACGGAUUGGCUCGCGUGACAUUAGCUGGAUGGUAAGGUAACGGCUUACCAUGGCUACGAUGUCUAGGGGUUCUGAGAGGAAGGUCCCCCACACUGGAACUGAGACACGGUCCAGACUCCUACGGGAGGCAGCAGUGAGGAAUAUUGGACAAUGGAUGGAAAUCUGAUCCAGCCAUGCCGCGUGCAAGGAAGACGGCCCUAUGGGUUGUAAACUGCUUUUGUAUGGGAGCAAUAAGGGCUACGUGUAGUCCGAUGAGAGUACCAUACGAAUAAGCACCGGCUAACUCCGUGCCAGCCGCCGC